AUGGAGCAGCUCUUUUUUCUUCUCAUUCACGUAUUUGCUUCUUCAUACUUAAUCUCAGCAGGAAAUGACACGAGCAUACAAACUACGUUACCUCCAAACACAAAUGCUACUUCUCCAUGUUCUGCUGAUUCAAGAACAGAAGUCCAAACUGAAAAAACAACAAAUUCUACUUUUUCAUCUCAAUAUGAGAAUAACAUGACCAGCCACACAUCAAAAACUGUGAGCACAACCACAGCUCCUGUAUCUUCUAGCCACACAGGACAGUCCAGCAUUACCAGCUCCAUGUUAACAACACCAAAAUCCUACACUGACACAACUCUAAAUUACACCUCAUCCACAGCGUCCAAAAUAACAGGCAGUACUGAUGGAUCUGGCCUCUCUUCGCAUAAAACAUCAGUGGGUGUUUCUGUACUUGCAAACACUUCAACAACAGCUAAUUCAAACAUCAGCAUGUCAGAGGGGACGCCAACACCUUCACAGGCACCAGACAGCAGCCUCACUUCGCUCGCCUUUGGUAGGUUUUAUACUGAUAAAAUCUCAUGAUACACAUUAUUUCUGGUGCUAAAAUAUUUCCUGUCUGCAAUUACAGGUGUGAUGAGUCUUAUACUCAUUUUAAUUGUUGUCAUGGUGGUCUUGGUGACUGCUAUCAACCUCAGGGGACGGUGUAGAGACAUCAAACAACACAAGAGUGGGUUUCUCUCUAAUUCUGUCAGUUUCAAGAUUACUGCAAUAUAGUAAUUAAUGUUUUUUUUUUAUAAUAAUAAAGGUAUUAAAAGCUGUGAUUCUGUGGUGUCUGACAGGUGAGGAUUUGACUGUGCAUGUGUGGUUAUCAUCAUUGUCUGUUUUACAUAUAAAAUAAAUAAUAUAAUAUAAU
rnacentral:lncRNA from 1 species